GCUGAUCGGGUGCGGGUGCGACUGCCUGUGUGCCUCCAUUGGCAUCUCUGCCUGUGGGCCCCAGGCCAGAAGUAAUGGCCCAUGUAGCCCAGGCCCGGGGGCCAGUCCUCAGCAUUUUGCGGAGGGGCGGCCUGGGAGGGGAGGAGGGGAUCCCUGGAUAGGGGGUCUCCCCUGGUCUGCCCCAGCUGUGCCGACAGCACCUCCACCUUGGGCCUCCAUCCUCUACCAGCAGAGAAGAGAGUGGCCCAUUCGGUGUCCACCCGUCAGGCCACCCAGCAGCCAGGCACGCUCAUAAGCCCGCGUUACGGAUGGUGCGGCCGGGUGCACAGGCCCGAGGGAAGCACAGGCCUCGGCCUCCCAGCUCCCAACCCCUGCACCACCCACAGCCGGGAGUACCCCAUGGACAGCUGUGGCCGAGGAGAAGCCAGGGAUGAGGGGGAUGGGCCUCACCUCCCCACCAGCCUGGGAAGGGGGUAGGCCCCUGGCAAGUAGGCCCCUCCUUUGCGGCUGCUGUGGGGACUUUCGAGAGCAGAGCACACCCCUAAGUGCGUGGAGAGGAGGGAAGCUGAGGCUCAGAGACAUCAUGAGGAUGCCAGCUCAAGGCCCAGCCAGGCCUUGGUCCUCAGCUGCUGUCAUCCAGUAGGGUAAGUGGGACCCCCAGGAGGUGUUGGGGGACACUCCUCCCCUCCCCCACACUCACAGUCUGUUCACCGCCCAAGGCAGCAGGCUGGACUCGGUGCAGGGACCAUGGCUUGGCGUGGCCAGGUUGGAGUGGCCCCUGGGACUGAAAGCAGGGGGCGUGGGGGCUCUGAGGCGGGGCCGAGUGCGGGGACGUCCUGUGGCGGGUACCCUGCUGGGUCCUGGGUGGGGGCCACCACCAGGCAGCUGUGGGAACAUUCCAGACCACCUAGGAGUAGGGCCCCUUCACCGUUUGAAGCUGACUGUAAAAAACAUCUGACCUGUGUGCAAAGCUCAAGCCCAGAGGCCUCCAGGGUGUCCAGCCUCCAGGGUGCCUCCUACGCAGCCUCCACGUCCCCAUCCACUGCAGCCCCUGACCAUCGGGCACACCGUGGGGCCUUCGCUGGCCGCCGGGCCUCAGGUUCUGCUGCACCAAGUGAUUUUUAAAGCCCCAUCUGCCUUUCUCCACUUAUAAAGAACUUGGGACAUUUCCUCGAGGUUGGGCAUUUUUCCAGAUGUGGUUUCAGUGUCUCGCUUGCUACCUGGUCCCCUGUGCUGGGCGGUCCGCUGUGACGCACCUGGCAGUCCUUGCUCUAGGAUGGAUUCGGGCCGGCCCUUGUUCUGAGAACAGAGAACGGCCCUUGUUCUGAGGAGGCUGGGGUCUGGAAUCUGCUUCCUGGUCCCCUGCUGUGUGCAGACAGCCACCGUCACCCAGGCCCAGGGGUGCCUGCAGGUGCUGGGCAUCUCACCCUGGCCCCCACAGGGGCUCCCCAUGCCCUGCACCCCUCGGUCUGUGCCGGGGACUUCCCUGCUCUGCUGUUGCAGGCCUCGUCCUUUGCCGAGGGGGUCUCUUUCCCACGUGUCCCUGAGACUCCUCAGCCAUCCCAGAGGCUCUCGGCCGUCUGAGCACCCCUGACCAUGAAGCCUUCCUGGCCCACUCUCUGUGUGUGAGGCAGAGCCCAUCCCUACCAUUCCGACCCACACCAGAGGCUCCGGAAGGUUUGCUGACUGACCUGUGACUGCAAGAAGCUGAAGGAAUGUGGGCGCAGACCCGGCAGGGGCUUUUCUUGGUGCAAAGUCAACUGGCUGUCCAUGCAAGCCUGCUGCUGUGGCCAGCCCUCC
rnacentral:lncRNA from 1 species